rnacentral:rRNA from 1 species
GAUGUGAGAAAUUCAAUACUGUUUAUAUUAUUUUUAUAGUAGAAAUGGUAUGCACUUUUCUCAUAGUAGGACAUUGUAAUCCAUUGAUGGUAUAUCUCUUCGAGAUGAUUUAACACACGGUCAAAAUGUUUUCGCUUAUUCUGUCUGUGGUGUGCUUACAUAUCAUAUGAAUAAAAUCAUUUGCACCCGUUUAAAUAGUCGAUGGAUUUUUUAACAGUCAUGCUUGCAAUUUAUUUGCGUUUCAAAUUAUCAAUUUUUAAUUGAUGAUAGUAGAAAUGGCAUGUACUCGAUUUACAAUGCGUUAGAUUUGGGAUGCCUUCGGGACCCGUCUUGAAACACGGACCAAGGAGUCUAACAUAUGUGCAAGUCAUUGAGUAUUUUGUUGAAACCUAAUGGCGCAAUUAAAAUGACUAUAUUUUAAUUUGGGAUCACAAGUAUUGUGAAAUUUUGCAAUAUUUUUCAAUCCCGGGGCGUUCUAUUUGAACAUGA